rnacentral:tmRNA from 1 species
GGGGGCGACAUGGUUUCGACGGGGAUAAUUGAUCUCGAUGCUGCAUGCCGGGGAGAUUCACCUACCCGUUAAUCACGGUGGAGAAAAAUAUAAUCGCAGACAACUACGAUUACGCUCUGGCCGCGUAAAUAGGCCAGCGUCCUGAUUUCCCGUUCCCACCGGGGAUGAAAGGACGUCGCAAUGUGGGAUAAGCCACAGCCGACGCCCGUAGGCGGUGGAUUAAAACCUAACGGGCUCCCCUCUUCACAGGACCUCUUCGCCGGGGGCCGGAAGGGGCGGUAAAAAACGGCGAAUAAGCAUGUAGACGCCUCGGGUGAAGGUCUUCGGACGCGGGUUCGAUUCCCGCCGCCUCCACCA